GGUUAAGUGACUAAGCGUACACGGUGGAUGCCUUGGCAGUCAGAGGCGAUGAAAGACGUAGUAACUUGCGAUAAGCCCAGAUUAGGUAGUAACAACCAUUUGAGUCUGGGAUUUCUGAAUGGGGAAACCCACUAGCAUAAGCUAGUAUCGUUAUGUGAAUACAUAGCAUAACG
rnacentral:rRNA from 1 species